GGGAAUUUUGGACAAUGGGCGAAAGCCUGAUCCAGCCAUGCCGCGUGAGUGAAGAAGGCCUUCGGGUUGUAAAGCUCUUUUAGUCGGAAAGAAAGAGUUGCAAUGAAUAAUUGUGAUUUAUGACGGUACCGACAGAAAAAGCACCGGCUAACUACGUGCCAGCAGCCGCGGUAAUACGUAGGGUGCGAGCGUUAAUCGGAAUUACUGGGCGUAAAGGGUGCGAAGGCGGUCUUGCAAGUCAGAUGUGAAAGCCCCGGGCUUAACCUGGGAAUUGCGUUUGAAACUACAAGACUAGAGUGCAGCAGAGGGGAGUGGAAUUCCAUGUGUAGCAGUGAAACGCGUAGAGAUGUGGAAGAACACCGAUGGCGAAGGCAGCUCCCUGGGUUGACACUGACGCUCAUGCACGAAAGCGUGGGGAGCAAACA
rnacentral:rRNA from 1 species